rnacentral:rRNA from 1 species
UGGGGAAUAUUGGACAAUGGGCGCAAGCCUGAUCCAGCCAUGCCGCGUGAGUGAUGAAGGCCCUAGGGUUGUAAAGCUCUUUCACCGGUGAAGAUAAUGACGGUAACCGGAGAAGAAGCCCCCGGCUAACUUCGUGCCAGCAGCCGCGGUAAUACGAAGGGGGCCUAGCGUUGUUCGGAAUUACUGGGCGUAAAGCGCACGUAGGCGGACAUUUAAGUCAGGGGUGAAAUCCCGGGGCUCAACCCCCGGAACUGCCUUUGAUACUGGGUGUCUAGAGUUCGAGAGAGGUGAGUGGAAUUCCGAGUGUAGAGGUGAAAUUCGUAGAUAUUCGGAGGAACACCAGUGGCGAAGGCGGCUCACUGGCUCGAUACUGACGCUGAGGUGCGAAAGCGUGGGGAGCAAAGCAGGAUUAGAUACCCUGGUAGUCCACGCCGUAAACGAUGGAAGCCAGCUGUCGGCAAGUUUACUUGUCGGUGGCGCAGCUAACGCAUUAAGCUUCCCCGCCU